rfam:Tetrapisispora blattae CBS 6284 chromosome 2, complete genome
GCCUGUUUAGCUUAGUGGUAGAGCGCUGCACUUGUAAUGCAGAGGUCGCUAGUUCAAUUCUGGCAAUAGGCA